GUAGUCCACGCUGUAAACGAUGGUCACUAGGUGUGGGGGGUGUCGACUCCCCCCGUGCCGGCGCUAACGCAUUAAGUGACCCGCCUGGGGAGUACGGCCGCAAGGCUAAAACUCAAAGGAAUUGACGGGGACCCGCACAAGCAGCGGAGCAUGUGGUUUAAUUCGACGCAACGCGAAGAACCUUACCUGGGCUUGACAUGUUCCUGACCGCCUUGGAAACAAGGCUUCCCUUCGGGGCAGGAUCACAGGUGGUGCAUGGCUGUCGUCAGCUCGUGUCGUGAGAUGUUGGGUUAAGUCCCGCAACGAGCGCAACCCCCGUCGCAUGUUGCCAGCAUUUAGUUGGGGACUCAUGUGAGACUGCCGGUGACAAACCGGA
rnacentral:rRNA from 1 species